rnacentral:rRNA from 1 species
UGGGGAAUAUUGGACAAUGGGCGAAAGCCUGAUCCAGCAAUGCCGCGUGAGUGAAGAAGGCCUUAGGGUUGUAAAGCUCUUUUAGUGGGGAAGAUGAUGACGGUACCCACAGAAAAAGCCCCGGCUAACUUCGUGCCAGCAGCCGCGGUAAUACGAAGGGGGCUAGCGUUACUCGGAAUUAUUGGGCGUAAAGCGUGCGUAGGCUGUUUAGUAAGUCAGAAGUGAAAGCCUUGGGCUCAACCCAAGAAUUGCUUUUGAAACUGCUAGGCUUGAGUACUGGAGGGGAUAGCGGAAUUCUUAGUGUAGGAGUGAAAUCCGUAGAUAUUAAGAGGAACACCGGAGGCGAAAGCGGUUAUCUGGCCAGUUACUGACGCUGUUGCACGAAAGCGUGGGGAGCAAA